AUGAAUGCAUACUCAUGGGAGACCUAUGAGAUCGGAAACUCCGGCAUCACAGAACAAUGGUUCUGCAGUGUUGCUGUUUAUACAUCGGUGAAGAUGAAGGGGCUCGGCUUUGCCUUUUUGCUUCUUGCACUUGUGCCACAAGUGGUACUCGGGACGCAUGAUGUGUACAUUGUUACCAUGGUUGGCGACCCGGUUGUGAGCUACACAGGCGUAGUUGAAGGAUUUCCAGCGACCGCGGCGGAUUUGGAUGAAGAGAUGGAUGUUACCAGUGAGGCUGUCACAUCGUACUCUCUUCAUCUCCGAAGGCACCAUGAGAAGCUUCUGGACUCGCUUUUUGUAGCGGGAACUUACGAGAAGCUUUAUAGCUACCAUCAUCUUAUUAAUGGGUUUGCAGUUCACAUGUCAUCUUUGCAGGCUGAUUUCUUAAGGAAAGCCCCAGGUGUUAAGUACGUGGAGAGAGAUACAAAGAUACAGAAAUUGACAACACACACUCCACAGUUUCUUGGAUUGACAACAGCGGUAUGGCCAACAGGAGGUGGAUUUGAUAGAGCAGGCGAAGAUGUGGUGAUUGGUUUUGUGGAUUCAGGAAUUUAUCCUGAACAUCCAAGCUUCUCUACCCACAGAACUGAUCCUUAUGGACCUGUUCCUCGUUACAAGGGGAAAUGUGAGAUAGAUCCAGCAACACAAAGAAGCUUCUGCAAUGGGAAGAUAGUUGGGGCCCAACAUUUUGCAAAAGCUGCAAUUGCUGCUGGAGCAUUUAAUCCCGAUGUUGAGUUUGCAUCUCCAUUAGACGGCGAUGGUCAUGGAAGNNNNNNNNNUGCAAUUGCUGCUGGAAACAAUGGGAUUCCGGUGCGAAUGCAUGGCUACGAAUUUGGCAAAGCAAGUGGCAUGGCUCCACGAGCUAGGAUAGCUGUGUACAAGGUUCUUUACAGGCUUUUUGGUGGUUAUGUAUCUGACGUUGUGGCAGCGAUUGAUCAGGCUGUUCAAGAUGGUGUUGACAUUCUCAACCUUUCUGUUGGACCAAAUAGCCCACCAACAGCUACACGGACUACUUUUCUCAAUCCUUUUGAUGCAGCGCUUCUUUCUGCCGUAAAAGCUGGCGUGUUUGUUGCUCAAGCUGCAGGAAAUGGAGGACCAUUUCCAAAAACACUGGUUUCAUUCAGCCCAUGGAUAACCACUGUUGCCGCUGGAGUUGAUGACCGCAGAUACAAGAAUCAUUUGAUACUAGGAAAUGGAAAGCGUAUUGCUGGACUUGGAGUAUCACCUGCCACACAUGGAAAUAAAUCGUUUGGCCUGAUUUCUGCUACUGAUGCUCUGCUGGGUUCAUCUUCAACCAAGUACAGUGCACUAGAUUGUCAAAGGCCAGAACUCUUAAAUAAGAGGAAAGUUCAGGGGAAAAUUCUAUUGUGCGGCUAUUCUUUUAAUUAUAUUUCUGGGAUGGCUUCAAUCAAGAAAGUGUCUCAAACAGCCAAGAGUCUAGGUGCAGCUGGCUUUGUUGUUGCUGUAGAAGAUAGUUACCCAGGGACAAAGUUUGAUCCUGUGCCUGUCAAUAUUCCUGGGAUUCUCAUCACAGAUGUCAGCAAAACAAAGGAUCUUAUAGACUACUACAACUCUUCUACAACAAGAGACUGGGCUGGACGGGCUACAGCGUUCCAAGCAACAGUCGGUAUUGCAGAUGGUUUGGCACCAACACUGUUCAAUUCAGCUCCCCAGGUUGCGUUGUUCUCUUCCCGAGGGCCUGAUGUAAAGGAUUUUAGCUUUCAAGAUGCUGAUGUUCUUAAACCUGAUAUACUUGCUCCUGGCAAUCUUAUAUGGUCCGCAUGGGCGCCUAAUGGAACAGAUGAAGCAAACUACGCUGGAGAAGGAUAUGCAAUGAUGUCUGGAACUAGCAUGGCUGCACCACAUAUUGCUGGCAUUGCAGCACUAAUAAAACAGAAGUACCCCAAGUGGAGCCCGUCAGCAAUAAAGUCCGCCUUGAUGACUACUGCCAAUACGAUCGACAAAGGGAGCCAUCCUCUCAGAGCGCAGCAAUACUCCACGUCGGAAAUGAUGACGCUUGCACGGGCCACACCUUUUGAUUAUGGCAGUGGCGCGGUUAACCCAAGAGCUGCCCUGGAUCCUGGACUAGUUCUAGAUGCAACUCACCAAGAUUACAUCACAUUUCUGUGUUCCAUCCCUGACGUCGAUCCAAGCGAAGUAUCAAACAUAACCGGCUCACGCUGCGGCUCUGACUCAAAGGGGCAGCGGCCCUACGACCUCAACAUCCCCUCGAUCACGGUCUCUCAGCUCAAAGGCAUCCAGACCGUGAAGCGGACGGUCACGAACGUGGCCGACGAGGCGGAAACCUACACCAUCAUGACCAGGAUGUCGCCGGAGAUCGCGCUGGACGUCUCGCCUCCCGCGCUGACGGUGCUCCCCGGGUCAUCUAGAGAGAUCACUGUGACCCUCACGACGAGGUCGGUGACCGGCACCUACAGUUUCGGCGAGAUCACGAUGAAGGGCGACCGGCGCCACCUAGUCAGGAUCCCUGUGGUUGCUAUGGGGUUCAAAUAG
rnacentral:rRNA from 1 species